rnacentral:lncRNA from 1 species
AGAGGUUCAGUGACACACCCCCAGAUAUGAAUGACUGCAGAAUCGGGAAGAAACCACUUCUGCUCUGUUCUGAAACCCUGGCUUAGGAGUUAGAAAUAGUGUGGGUGAGCUGGGGGGAAGCUCAGUGGGAGGCUCUCCCAGCCUCCGUGGGGCCUGAGUGUGGCCCCCAACACUGCCAAGAAAAAGGGAAAGGUGGUCUCUUCUUGUGUGUUCCCUUAGGGAGCAUGCUUGACAGAGGUGAAGAAGUGGAAGGCACAGGAGGAGGGGAGGCCAUAGGUGGAGGACAAGGGGAUUGAAGAAGGUGGGGGUUGAUACAGCUGCAUGGAUUUGUCCACAGUCAGUUAAAAAGAGCAGGAGCUGAGAACAACAGAGGGAACAUAGACGAGCAAGUUAUGGAUUUCACUAUGCAGAACUCACAUGGGGAAAUAUUCGAAUCAAGGCUCCAUGAAGGGCUAGGCUGGAGCUGGAAUGAAAGAGCUGUCAUCCAGAUUCCAAUACUUGGUUACUAUUCCUGUGAUUAAAUACGAUGCUGUGGGUGUAGCUCAGUGUGGAACAUUCGCCAACAUGUACAAGGCUCUGGGGUUUGAGAAGAAAGGAAAAAGGGAGCAAGAAAUUCAAGCUGAGAUGUAGGUGAGUUGGUGGUACUCUGUUGGCCAGAAGGCUAAGUGCCCUGACUGGAGCUUGCAGAGAGAGGCCUCAACCAAAUCUGUCCACGCCACUCAUCUGCCUUGUUUCAGCUACAGGCUGACCCCUGUAGUGGGGGAUGCAGUGGAGGAAGAUGGGUCUGACUGUUAUCAGAAUGUGGUGAAGACGGGGUAGUAGUGUACCCCAAUUGGGUAGAGAAGGACAAACUUAUCAAAACACAAGAAAAACACUGACGUGCUAAGAAGAGAUGCCACUGGAUUUAAAAUGAAGCGUCACAGAAAGUCUUGUGUGCAGGAACAGUGUCAUUGAAGGACUAGCAGAAGAUCUAACUGCAAGCUAGACAGUGGUGAACAGGACUCCAGAGGGAUAACCAAAGGUAAAUGAAACAUUGGCCUCACACUGAAGCAUAAACCAGG